rnacentral:rRNA from 1 species
CACGGGGGGAGCAAGCGUUGUUCGGAUUCAUUGGGCGUAAAGAGCUCGUAGGUGGCUCUGUAAGUAGGUGGUGAAAGCCCACGGCUCAACCGUGGAUACGCCUCCUAAACUGUGGAGCUUGAGGCUGGGAGAGGAAAUCGGAAUUCCUGGUGUAGCGGUGAAAUGCGUAGAUAUAGGAAGGAACACCAGUGGCGAAGGCGACCACCUGGACUGAUACUGACACUGAGGUGCGAAAGCGUGGGGAGCAAACAGG